rnacentral:rRNA from 1 species
CAGUAGCCGCGGGAAUACGUAGGGUGCAAGCGUUAAUCGGAAUUACUGGGCGUAAAGCGUGCGCAGGCGGUUAUAUAAGUCAGAUGUGAAAUCCCCGGGCUCAACCUGGGAACUGCAUUUGUGACUGUAUAGCUAGAGUAUGGCAGAGGGGGAUGGAAUUCCGGGUGUAGCAGUGAAAUGCGUAGAUAUGGGGAGGAACACCGAUGGCGAAGGCAGUCCCCUGGGCCUAUACUGACGCUCAUGCACGAAAGCGUGGGGAGCAAACAGGAUUAGAUACCCCAGUAGUCCCUGUCUCUUAUAC